AGAGUUGAUCCUGGCUAGGAUGAACGCUGGCGGCGUGCCUAACACAUGCAAGUCGAACGAGCGAGAGAUGAAACCUAGUGAUUCUCGAGCGAGUGGCGGACGGGUGAGUAACGCGUGGGUAACCUGCCUUACAGAGGGGGAUAACAGUCUGAAAAGACUGCUAAUACCGCAUAAGCACACAGUACCGCAUGGUACAGGGUGAAAAGAUUUAUCACUGUAAGAUGGACCCGCGUCUGAUUAGCCAGUUGGCAGGGUAACGGCCUACCAAAGCGACGAUCAGUAGCCGACCUGAGAGGGUGAUCGGCCACAUUGGGACUGAGACACGGCCCAAACUCCUACGGGAGGCAGCAGUGGGGGAUAUUGCACAAUGGAGGAAACUCUGAUGCAGCCGACGCCGCGUGAGUGAAGAAGUAUUUCGGUAUGUAAAGCUCUAUCAGCAGGGAAGAUAAUGACAGUACCUGACCAAGAAGCCCCGGCUAACUACGUGCCAGCCGCCGC
rnacentral:rRNA from 1 species